rnacentral:rRNA from 1 species
CCUACGGGGGGCAGCAGUGAGGAAUAUUGGUCAAUGGACGAGAGUCUGAACCAGCCAAGUAGCGUGAAGGAUGACUGCCCUAUGGGUUGUAAACUUCUUUUAUAUGGGAAUAAAAUGUUCCACGUGUGGGCUUUUGUAUGUACCAUAUGAAUAAGGAUCGGCUAACUCCGUGCCAGCAGCCGCGGUAAUACGGAGGAUCCGAGCGUUAUCCGGAUUUAUUGGGUUUAAAGGGAGCGUAGGUGGAUUGUUAAGUCAGUUGUGAAAGUUUGCGGCUAAACCGUAAAAUUGCAGUUGAAACUGGCAGUCUUGAGUACAGUAGAGGUGGGCGGAAUUCGUGGUGUAGCGGUGAAAUGCUUAGAUAUCACGAAGAACUCCGAUUGCGAAGGCAGCUCACUGGACUGCAACUGACACUGAGGCUCGAAAGUGUGGGUAUCAAACAGGAUUAGAUACCCUUGUAGUC